UAGUCAUGCCUCUUGUCUAUAGUUGGUUGAA
rnacentral:piRNA from 1 species